GGGCGGAGAGUUGCCGCCAACCGCCUUAACGGCCGAAACAAUGUUAGUGGCUUUCAAGUCUGUCUGCGCGUUCCCAUUAUCGUCUGUGUGUGCCCCCUUGGUCAUUAUACACGGAGUCGGUGGGCUCCAUAGGUACUUAUCAAUUUCAUAUUAGUUCCUCUCAAAACCUUUGUGAGGAAUCCCCGGCCUCUUAUCCUUGGACAAGCGACGAAAUGAAGAGGAAAGGGGAACUUGGUCAUACGUAAAACGAGGGCGAUUUGGGUUUAGAAUCUAAUCGGGCUGCAGUGAAGACAUGUUUUAACCUCUUCGUGGGCAUUGCCAUGGUUACAGGUACCCGCGUAACAAGGCAGGUGCGAGAACUGCCCGGGAGCCUGGUGAGCGCCGCCGCACCUCGCCUUAGAGCCACAUCUCCUCUAAUGCCUGGAAAGGUAGAGGCCGUCAUUUAUUUUGAAUCCGUCCCUAGGUGGAAAACCCAUGUUUUUAAACUUCUUGAAGAUUUUUUUUUUCAUGUCCCACGUAUAAGGUUGCAUAAAUUUGAGAAAUGUGUCUACCGCAGACCUGUCCAAAGAUCGUCACUGUGCACCAAUGUUGCUGCCCAGAAAUUCAUCCACAACUUCAUCGGCGCUUUAGAUUUUCCCUAAGAUUCUCUUCCUAUAUUUGGUCCUUGAUAAAGAUAUUUGGAAAUAAUUGAUUACAAUGAAGUACUCAGAAAUGCCAGUAGUGCCUGGAGGAUUCAGCUAAAUGAACACUGCAGUAAAGUUAGCUUAAAGACAAAACAGUUUAUUGUGCACCUAUUGCGUGCAAUGUACUUCAAUAGACAGUUAACAUUUCAUCAAUUUGCGCUAUCAUCUGGCUUUGUAAUGAAAGACAUUAAAGAACAAAUGCUGUUUGAGUAUUUUAGGUUCUGAAAGUUAAACUUUUCUAAGUUUCAAAAAAAAGUUCAAUCAUGAGGGGAACUCGGGAAUCUUUACAUAAAAUUAGAUUUGAAAAAUCAGAUUUUCUUAAAAUAUUUUGUAGAAGAAUUUUUAGGGGCCCUGGAUAGCUCAAUUGGUUAAGCGUGGGACCCUUGAUUUCCUCUCAGGUCCUGAUCUCAGUGUUGUGAGACAGAGCCCGGUGACAGCAGGAGCCUACUUAAAUAUUCUCUCCCUCUCUCUCCCUCUCUCUCCCUCUCUCUGUCUCUCUCUCUCUCUCUCUCUCCCUCCCACCCCUCCCUCUCCGUCUUUCUCCCUGCCCCUCCCUCACCUUCCCCCCCCAAUAAAAUUUUUUAAACUAGUAGUACCUCUGAUUGGUUGGAUGUAAGUUGCACAUGUUUAUACAGGACCUUUGAAAUGAAAAUGCUACCAAAAGAUAACGAUUUUGUUGAUUAUUCUUCUAGAUUUGGUCAUUGAAGAACUUUGGUUAAAAUUUACCAGAAAUGUAGUUGAACAUCCUGUUGGUAUAUACAAAUACAAAAAUUAUUUUCAUUAUUCUUUUAUUAUUUUCAUUAUUGAAAUGUGAUAUUAUGAAAUUAUUUUCAUUAUUAUUUAUUCUCUUAAUUAUAACGUUUCCUUUUCUUACUACUCUGGUUUUCCACCUUUGGGAAGAUGUGCAAGGUAUACUCCAUUUAGGCAAAAAUAACUCCCAGGGAAUAGUCAUUGUCACAAGCAGUCAUUUUGUAUCAUUUUGUGCCACAACCACAAAUCAGAUUUGUGAAACACUUGCUAUUGUAAAAUCUGGCAAUGUAGACAUUCAGUUCAGAUCCAAUUCUUACAAAUAUU
rnacentral:lncRNA from 1 species